UAACCUGCUAUUUUGCUAUUUACACCUGACCAAUCUUCUGCUCACUCAGUCCUCAAAGAUAUGAAUCUGUGCUUGCCUGUUUGAAUGGUUUAGCAGAGCUCCUAAACUCUGUCUCUGUCUAAUCCCUUGUCCAUUAAAAUCAAGGUAGUAGUUUUCAUUCAUUCAUUCAUUCAUUCACUCACCAUCCAUCCAUCCAUCUGUCCGUCUGUCCACGUAGCACUUGUACCUUAUAAGGUAAGGAAGACAGAGUAACAUAGUGAUAAGAACUUGGAGCUAGGCAGAGCUGGUUAAUUUGUAUCCUCCUUGUACUGCAGGUUAAAUUCUCUGAGCCUCAGUUUCCUCAUUGGUAAAAUGGGCAUAAUGAAAACUACUACCUAAUAGUAUUGUUGAGUGAAGGAAAAGGGAGGCACAUACUAAACCUUACAGGUUCAAGGGAGGCCUGGGUGGCAGGUCUUACAAACUGAGAGACAGAAAAAAACCACACUGAAUGGUCUCAGCAUAAAAACUCCUGACCAAAAGUGAGUCCUAGGACUUGGAGGGAAGUCACGUCCUUGGCCUGUAGAUUCCUUGACAAAGGUCAAUCUUUACCUAAGGUGAGCCUGUUUGUUUUGUUUUGUUUGUUUGUUUUGCAUCUAAGAUAACAUGCCUUUUAAAUGUCAGAAUAGUCUUUUAUCCACCCUUCAGGACAACCCCACCUCAUCAGAGCAGGAGAUCACAGAACCCCUCAUUGGUAUCUUGUUUUCAAAUACCAUCUCUGGGUGCUGUAAAUGUUAAUUAUUAACUAUCCUGUGCCCACCAGUGUAAAAGAAGUGUGUGUCUUUUUGUUUUAGUUUUUAUCCAAUCCCAGAGAUUUCCCAGCUUUGCUUUCUCCUGCCUCCUUAAUCUACCACCAGUGAAUUCCACGUAACUCUCCUUAUGUCUCCUUCUUUUACUCUAAUGUAUAAAAUAAGCUGCAAAAUUACCAUUCUCCAGAGCAUUUUCCCAGUCCCUUGAGAUUUUGCUUCGCAGCAAUUGUUGUCAGUUUGGCUCACAUAAACUCGUAACAAUUCUGUAUAGGUUUGGAUGUUUCUUACCUGGACAGUUGUAAGGAUUAAAAGGAUGAUGUGGUAAGUGCUUAAAAGUCACUUUUUAUAGUUAUUUCAGACCCUGCUGCAGAAAAAAGAACCUAAAAAAAAGCAGGUGACUCCAGGCCAGGACUUGCAGGGAAAGCUGCUCUGUACUCUUGCACAGCCUAAACCACAGGGCCUGGGCCUGGGGGGGUGGGCAUGAAUGAACAGAUAAGAACCUCUUGUGACUACACCCAUCCAUUUCUAUUCAGUCACUUUGCAAAGUUCUCCAAACCAGUCCUUUCUUUUACAUGCAUCAAAUAGCUCCCUCCCCACACUCAAUGCUAUAUAUACCAAGAAUCGAUUCAGAAAUAAUUUCUAUUUCCAAGGUUAGACCAGAAAUAAACUUCAAGCUGUAGCUUGAAUAAAAUCCAAUUUUAGUGGAAACUGAAUGAAGUUUUUAGAGAUUUUAUUUAUUUAUUUUUAGAG